CGGGAGCUAACUCCUCCUUUUUGGAUAGAGCACGAGGUCUGAGUCUUUCUGCGGUGGAGUUGGUGUGCUGUGGGAAGUGGAGCGGGAAAAGCUGUACGCCCAGUGGGACCGUAGGCAUCUCCGGAACCCCUCGGGCUGGCGUAGCACUGGAUCUUGCCUCAGCCUAGCUCCACCUUAACCAGUGUCGUUUAAACUCUUCAACGUUCAGCAGGGUCGUGGUGAGUCGGCUACAGAUGUUGAACUUAAAUCAACCGAAAUCCAGAGGCCCAGUGGGCAAGAGGGCCUGGUAAGGUGGGCAUCCUUGUCAGUUGAACUGCUUAGCAAUAAAGCAAAAGUAAUGAGUCUUC